GAAAGCCAAGAAGCACAGCAAACAAAUUAGGGCAGCAACUCACAGCUAAAGCGAAAUUCGAAACGAGAAGCACAAGCGGAGAAGCACAACUGAAUUUGGUCUCUGCCGAUUACCGAAAGGAAAGCCAACGGAGAAGCAUUGCGUCUGGUUAAAUGAACAUGAACCAUGGCUGUAUAGAGGAUGUAUUUAAGAAAAUAGUGUAUAAAGAAGAUAUGGCAUUCACUGCGCAAUUGAUGAUUUAGGUGGCUUGGAAGUGAAGGAGUUCAUGAAGCUUUUCAAUUCACAUGCUAGACAACAGAUUUAAAGAAAGCAUUGGUUGAAGAAAUGAUCUCAUGAUGAUGAUGAGGAUCGCCUUGAAAACUGUAUUUUCCCAAGAGUUGAUGAUCUGUAGGUUCUUGCUUGACAUGGUCUGCAAUUUUUGAUCUCUCAUAGUUGAUUUGGCUGCAACUCCCAUCAAAUGAUGAGGACCCACUGACCUCACUUCCCCCAAAUAUCAGCAAAUUAUGAUUACCCUUAUUCAUAGCUGCUGGGUGGUGAUGAUAUUGUUGCAUUAGUGCAGGGGGUUCAGCAAGGCCUGCUGGUCUUGAUAGCUCAUUUGAAAGUUGAAACAAGGAUAGAGAGACUUGUUACAGUGAUCAUACCCGAACUCUGGAUUAGCAAAAGCGCAUUAAGAAAAUUUAAUUCCUAUCUUGUCAGAUUAGUACUCUUUAUCCAACUCUUUUCUCCCAAGUUGGUCAUGAUAGACAAUCAACUUUAGUCAGUGGUUUA